GUCCUAUACAGAUGUAUCGGCGCAAGCCAGCGGAGCAUCUCCCUUUAGGGCGAAGUUUAUUUAUUAGAAGCUUUGACAACAAUUUUCAUUGUGUGGCUACGGUCGAAAUGGGAUGAGUUAGAGUGGAGUAGGUUAACCGUAAGACCUUGAGUUGGAAAAUUCUAAAUUGGAGCUAGAGAUAUGGAUUUAUUAAAUUUUGCAUUUUCUGGUUACGGCGAG
rnacentral:ncRNA from 1 species